CAGUCGCCGCGGGAAUACGGAGGGGCUAGCGUUGUUCGGAAUUACUGGGCGUAAAGCGCACGUAGGCGGCUUUGUAAGUUAGAGGUGAAAGCCUGGGGCUCAACUCCAGAAUUGCCUUUAAGACUGCAUCGCUUGAACGUCGGAGAGGUGAGUGGAGUUCCGAGUGUAGAGGUGAAAUUCGUAGAUAUUCGGAAGAACACCAGUGGCGAAGGCGGCUCACUGGACGACUGUUGACGCUGAGGUGCGAAAGCGUGGGGAGCAAACAGGAUUAGAUACCCCAGUAGUCCCUGUCUCUUAUACC
rnacentral:rRNA from 1 species